rnacentral:snRNA from 1 species
AUCCCUUCUCGGCCUUUUGGCUAAGAUCAAGUGUAGUAUCUGUUCUUAUCAGUGUAAUAACUUUACUGUAUAUCUUAAAGUUGCUGAGAAAGUAGAUCUUAAAAGUUUUCAUCACUCACACACAAAUUCUGUAAAUGUGGUGAUCAUUUUGCAAUACAUACAAAUAUCAAAU